rnacentral:lncRNA from 13 species
AUGCAGACCAUCCCCCCAGUCACCCCCCAGCUGUUAACCCGGUCACGGAUCCGUGCCAAGCCAGGGCAGAGGGUCCCCUGGCACCCCUGCACCGGGCAGAGCACCCACGGGGCAUCAGCUGCUGCCGAAAGCAGGACACGGCAGUCUGGGGCACAGGGACAGACGGGGGCACCGGCAGCAUGGGGGGUGCAGGUACACGGCCCCCACCUCUCCCAGCCCCCCUGCCCUGAGUGCAGCCCCUUCCCAUGUUCUGCCUGUGGGGCAAGAGUUGAACACUCCCCCAUCCCUUUGGGCUGCAGCCCCCUGCAGCCCUGCCUCAGUUUCCCCAUCCCUCUGCAGCACUCACGCUGUACCCCAGAGUCGCAGGGACGUUUUCCCAAGUCGGGACCCCCAUGCUGGCUCCUGCCCCCCUGCUCCCUGCCAGCUCGAGCACCGCCAGGCCUGGCAGCGUGUUGGUGCAGGCAAGACCUGGUGCUGCCAGUCCCAGCUCGUCCCUACCCGAGGGCUCCUCGUGUCAGUGGUUGCACCCAAUCCCGGCCCUGGCAUCACUGGAGCAGGGGGCUGGCGGUGCCCUGGGGUCCCCGAAGGCCCCUGGUCCCAGCAGCCAAGAGGGAUUGGCAGGAACAGGGAUCCCCAUGGUGUGGGAAGGCUCCCACCCACCUGCACCCAACCUGGCUCCCACCCAGCUCUGGCACCAAAAGCACCCCAACACCUGGGCACGGGGAGCCGUGGUGGGACAGCACCGGGAGGCCUGUGCAGGAGGAAAGGGGCGUCCAGCCCACCCCUCCCCCCUCCACUGCAGCUCCCGUCGGGGCUAAUUUUAGCACCAGGAGGAUGUUGAGGACCAUCCAACCGGGAGGUGGAUGCUGCAGUGACUGCCGGUGCCCGGCCACCCCCGUUCCCCACCGAGCUGACGCUGCCAUUGAGCCCAUAUCCCCCGCCAGCCCCUCUGCCGCGGUGCCUUGCCCAGGGAACUCCUGCCCACCCCGCAGACUCCUGCCCACCCCGCUGCCACGGGCGCCCUGCCCCGGCGGGGACCCGGCCUUGACCUUGUCACCCCAACCGAGCACCGCUGUGCCCUGUGCAGGGCCACCCGCCUCAUCGGGUACCGGGGUCCCGCACCCCGCUGUCUCCCACCGCAGCAUCCACCAGCGCAUCCCCCCCGCAAGCAGCGGCCGCCCCCGGUCUCUCCCCGCUCCGCCGCAUCGCCCCGCGAUCCACGCGCUCCCCACCCCGGGCACCCCCGCAGCCCCUCCCGGGGGUCCCGCAGCCCGUCCCGUGGGGUUCCGCAGCCCCGUACCUGCCCCGCAGCCCCUCCCGUGUGCAGCCGCCGGCAGCCGGUCGAGGAGCGCGGCCAGGAGCCGCUCGGGGGGCGCGGGCGCGGCGGGGGCGCAGCCGCAGCCGCAGCAGCACCGGGCG